rnacentral:rRNA from 1 species
UACGGGGGGAGCAAGCGUUGUUCGGAUUUACUGGGCGUAAAGGGCGCGUAGGCGGCCACCGCAAGUCGGUUGUGAAAUCUCCGGGCUUAACCCGGAAAGGUCAAUCGAUACUGCGGGGCUAGAGUGCAGAAGGGGCAACUGGAAUUCUCGGUGUAGCGGUGAAAUGCGUAGAUAUCGAGAGGAACACCUGCGGCGAAGGCGGGUUGCUGGGCUGAUACUGACGCUGAGGCGCGAAAGCCAGGGGAGCGAACGGG